GACGAACGCUGGCGGCGUGCUUAACACAUGCAAGUCGAACGGAAAGGCCCUGCUUUUGUGGGGUGCUCGAGUGGCGAACGGGUGGGUAACACGUGAGUAACCUGCCCUUGACUUUGGGAUAACUUCAGGAAACUGGGGCUAAUACCGGAUAGGAGCUCCUGCUGCAUGGUGGGGGUUGGAAAGUUUCGGCGGUUGGGGAUGGACUCGCGGCUUAUCAGCUUGUUGGUGGGGUAGUGGCUUACCAAGGCUUUGACGGGUAGCCGGCCUGAGAGGGUGACCGGCCACAUUGGGACUGAGAUACGGCCCAGACUCCUACGGGAGGCAGCAGUGGGCAAUAUUGCACAAUGGGCGGAAGCCUGAUGCAGCAACGCCGCGUGCGGGAUGACGGCCUUCGGGUUGUAAACCGCUUUCGCCUGUGACGAAGCGUGAGUGACGGUAAUGGGUAAAGAAGCACCGGCUAACUACGUG
rnacentral:rRNA from 1 species